GAACUCCCGGAAUGAAUCGGUCAAAUAUCAUCUUUCAAGCAGGACACGCAGUUCAAACUUCAAAGUCCUUGUUCCAAGAAACUCUAUGAUCAUACAUUUAGACAACAAACAUAUUUGUUCGCUUUAUAUGCACCGCAUACAGUUGUAAAAUCAAUGAUUUUUAAUUUUUCACGGGAAUAAUUACAAAAUUCAAAAGUAUUCUUAGCUCUUAAAGCUUCAUGCUGCAAACUAACUAAUCCUAUGAUGUAUGAUCCACCAUCGUGGACGACAAUUUCUGUGCUACCCUAUUGUGGAUCCACCGUUAAGGAGUUUAUACAUGUAUGAUAGCAGCAAUCACUAGAUUCUUCCUUUUGUGGCUUUUGAUUCCAUUAAGGAAACUGGUAAUUGUAGUUCAAAGUUCAAACUACUCUUCUUCAGGGAUGCUAUGAAGCACACCAUCAUAUCCACCAUUAGAGGACACAACACUAACACGAUUAACAGGAAGUUGGACAAGUUCAUGUGCGACAUCUUUGAAUUCAAGAAGCCCCCCUUCUUUGCACUUGGCCAUUAAUCGAGCUGCUUCUUGUUUUGUCAUCCUAACUUUCACUCUGAUCACAUCUUUUUCUUGCACACUGCUGGCAUACCCUCUCUUCUCAAAAUUCUUCCUCGCAUCUUCUUCUUUAAUUGCCAAGCAAUUACCAUCUUUCUUUAACUUCUUUGGUGAUAUCUUCUUGCUCAACUCAUCUCUAUAUAUCAAAUUUGUUCCCUUGCUUCCCCUAGUGCCUUUUUUAGUGUCAUACAGCAUGCUAUUUAAAUAAGAGAUUGAAGAGGUAAACAUUUUGAGACAGAAAAAAGUAGCUAGCACAAGAGGAAAAGAGAGAUGUUUGUGGCAGUUGAAACUAAGGGUGGAGUGUAUU
rnacentral:lncRNA from 1 species